rnacentral:tRNA from 2 species
GGAGGGUUGGCAGAGCGGUUGAAUGCACCGGUCUUGAAAACCGGCAAUGGUUAAUCCCAUUCCAGGGUUCGAAUCCCUGACCCUCCGCCA